rnacentral:RNase_P_RNA from 1 species
GGUAGUCGCUGCUUUGUUGAUGUCCUUCGGGAGACUGACGUUGAGGUCCUUCGGGAGACUGACAAGGGGAGGAAAGUCCGGGCUUCAUAGAGCAAGGUGCCAGGUAACGCCUGGGGGGCGCAAGCCGUACGACAAGUGCAGCAGAGAGAAGACCGCCGAUGGCCCGCAAGGGAACAGGUAAGGGUGAAAGGGUGCGGUAAGAGCGCACCGGACGACUAGUAAUAGUUCGUAGCAGGGUAAACUCCACCUGAAGC